GCCUGAGAUAUGUGAUGGUAUACCCAGGGGUGUUGCACAACAUUCUGGGCCCUGUACAUAGGCGGUCUCUGAGGGCCACUCCCCUAUAUUCAAGAUUCAAACAUUUUCAAGGACCCUUCUACAUGUUAGGGCCCCUCCCCCCCGAUUAUACGCCACUGGGUAUACCCAAGGUAUUACGGUCUCAUUUACCACAGCUAUCAGCCAAUCAGCAUGCCAGAUUCGAAGCACCCGGUUUAUAAUCAAGGAUAUAAAGGCCUGUUACCUCAAUAAGUAAUUAUAAUUUUAAUCAUACAUUCUGUGACUCUUUUUGAUUUUUAUCUCCUCCUUGACCCAUUGACUUGAUGAAAAUCAUUUCAGGCCUUGUAUUAUUGCUGAUCCAACAGCUAAUCCAGCUACAGAUAUGGGUAGUGCUACACCCACUGCUACUCCCAACGCUCCUCCCACUGCUUGCACUGCUGCUCCCACUGCUCCUUCCACUACUCCCAUUGCUCCCACUGCUCCUCCCACUGCUCCCACUGCUCCCACUGCUGCUCCCACUGUUCCUCCCACUACUUCCACUGCUCCUCCCACUGCUCCAAUUGCUCCUCCCACUGAUGCUCCCACUUCUCCUCCCACUGCUCCCACUGCUCCCACUGCUGCCUGUCCAGCAUCAGUAGCCUUAUCUAUUCCUCCUUCUUCCAUUCCUCACAUUCAAUCUUUCUCUGAGCCUCCUCAUACUCCUUACUGGUGUAGUGUCCUCUGUUCCAAAUCCAUUUCAUGUUUUUAGUAUACAUCUUUGCCACGUUUUAAUAAAAAAAUGUCAUACAAUUGAAUUUAGUUUUUUCAUACCAUUACAUAUUUUUUGUUAACCUUGCAUUUAUUUCAGUUAGGUUUUUCUUUUUAUAUGGUCAACAUAUUUGAGCUCAAUUUGGCUCCAUAAAUGUAGGUCUCUUUAAGGCUUCAUAUGAAUUGCUUAAACUUUAUUUCUCUUUUUUUUAUUUAACCUUUAACAGAGAAAUCAGGCUUAAGACCAAGGCCUCUUACACACUUUCUUUUAACACCACGCUGCACUUAUGAAAUGUCAGAUAUCUGUGCCUACUACAGACCAAGUUCCCCUAUUUAUUGGAAGCUGACACCAAAGCGAU
ensembl:lncRNA